rnacentral:rRNA from 1 species
AUUGAACGCUGGCGGCAUGCCUUACACAUGCAAGUCGAACGGUAACAGGUCUUCGGAUGCUGACGAGUGGCGAACGGGUGAGUAAUGCAUCGGAACGUGCCCAGUAGUGGGGGAUAGCCCGGCGAAAGCCGGAUUAAUACCGCAUACGACCUGAGGGUGAAAGGGGGGGAUCGCAAGACCUCUCGCUAUUGGAGCGGCCGAUGUCAGAUUAGCUAGUUGGUGGGGUAAAGGCCUACCAAGGCAACGAUCUGUAGUUGGUCUGAGAGGACGACCAACCACACUGGGACUGAGACACGGCCCAGACUCCUACGGGAGGCAGCAGUGGGGAAUUUUGGACAAUGGGCGCAAGCCUGAUCCAGCAAUGUCGCGUGCAGGAAGAAGGCCUUCGGGUUGUAAACUGCUUUUGUCAGGGAAGAAAUCUUCUGGGUUAAUACCUCGGGAGGAUGACGGUACCUGAAGAAUAAGCACCGGCUAACUACGUGCCAGCCGCCGCAGUAACAC